rnacentral:lncRNA from 1 species
UUAUAAAUUUUCUCGAAGAAUUUGAUGUAUCAUUACCCGACAUCACCAACAUACUCUGAACUUCUAGAUGGUGGUUCGGGGUAAAUGACAUAGCGGAAUUUAUGGUCCAGUUUAACCCCCUUUAACGUUGUGUUAAUACCCAUUUUUAAUAAGCUCGUCAUGGUGGUCGGUAGUAACUGCCUCCCUGGUAAUUUGGCAUAUCAUGGAAGCCAUACCGAAGACUAGCCUCCAUAGC